rnacentral:rRNA from 1 species
UAGGGAAUCUUCCACAAUGGACGCAAGUCUGAUGGAGCAACGCCGCGUGAGUGAAGAAGGUUUUCGGAUCGUAAAGCUCUGUUGUUGGUGAAGAAGGAUAGAGGUAGUAACUGGCCUUUAUUUGACGGUAAUCAACCAGAAAGUCACGGCUAACUACGUGCCAGCAGCCGCGGUAAUACGUAGGUGGCAAGCGUUGUCCGGAUUUAUUGGGCGUAAAGCGAGCGCAGGCGGAAGAAUAAGUCUGAUGUGAAAGCCCUCGGCUUAACCGAGGAACUGCAUCGGAAACUGUUUUUCUUGAGUGCAGAAGAGGAGAGUGGAAUUCCAUGUGUAGCGGUGGAAUGCGUAGAUAUAUGGAAGAACACCAGUGGCGAAGACGACUCUCUGGUCUGCAACUGACGCUGAGGCUCGAAAGCAUGGGUAGCGAACAGG